AAUGCUGUGUCUUACAAUGAGGAUUCUGGAGAGCCAUUUAUUGCUGCUGCUUACUCUAAUGAGCAAGGAAAAUUACUCAGUCCAGAACAGUUAACUCAAAUCAUGCAGAUGUUGAAACAAGUGAAAACAGAGGAUCAGUCCACAAAUUCUGAGGUCAUAGCAAAUGCAAACUGUGCUGGGCCCUUCAAUGAGGAGCCCCAUGCUGCUUGGUAGAACCCAAAAAGGA